rnacentral:tRNA from 1 species
CUGUCGGCGGUGCUGGUCAUGGUCGGGCUGUGGAUCCGGCUGGCGGUGGACGAGUCGCCGCUGUUCAAGGCGGCGCUGGCGGCC